ACACUCCUACGGGAGGCAGCAGUGGGGAAUUUUGGACAAUGGGCGAAAGCCUGAUCCAGCAAUGCCGCGUGGGUGAAGAAGGCCUUCGGGUUGUAAAGCUCUUUUGUCAGGGAAGAAACGGUGAAAGCUAAUAUCUUUUGCUAAUGACGGUACCUGAAGAAUAAGCACCGGCUAACUACGUGCCAGCAGCCGCGGUAAUACGUAGGGUGCAAGCGUUAAUCGGAAUUACUGGGCGUAAAGCGUGCGCAGGCGGUUUUGUAAGUCUGAUGUGAAAUCCCCGGGCUCAACCUGGGAAUUGCAUUGGAGACUGCAAGGCUAGAAUCUGGCAGAGGGGGGUAGAAUUCCACGUGUAGCAGUGAAAUGCGUAGAUAUGUGGAGGAACACCGAUGGCGAAGGCAGCCCCCUGGGUCAAGAUUGACGCUCAUGCACGAAAGCGUGGGGAGCAAACAGGAUUAGAUACCCCGGUAGUCCCAUG
rnacentral:rRNA from 1 species